AUGCUGUUGCAUGCAGACAAGAAAGCUUGCGAUCGGGCCCACAUUUUGACGGAACUUGACGUCCACGGGCGUGUUGACAAAGUUGUUUUGUUAGUGGUCAAAAGAAAAAGACAUGGCGUUUUCAAGCAGUGUCUUUUUUGUUUUGCCUUCUUUUUUGUUGGUCGACAAAAGAUGGGAGUUGCAGCUAGUACAACUCCAGCGCUGCUUUGGUUUAUGUAUUCUUUGCCUCAGAUAGGGGAGAAUGUUCGUGCGCUUGUUCGGUUGCUAGUACUUCUUGACAUGCAUAGUUUAAACUUCAAAUAA
rnacentral:rRNA from 1 species